rnacentral:rRNA from 1 species
AUUGAACGCUGGCGGCAGGCCUAACACAUGCAAGUCGAGCGAGUCGCGGACGGGUGAGUAAUGUCUGGGGAACUGCCCGAUAGAGGGGGAUAACUACUGGAAACGGUAGCUAAUACCGCAUACCAUCGGAUGUACCCAGAUGGGAUUAGCUAGUAGGUGGGGUAAAGGCUCACCUAGGCGACGAUCCCUAGCUGGUCUGAGAGGAGGACCAGCCAAACUGGAACUGAGACACGGUCCAGACUCCUACGUGAGGCAGCAGUGGGGAAUAUUGCACAAUGGGCGCAAGCCUGAUGCAGCCAUGCCGCGUGUAUGAAGAAGGCCUUAGGGUUGUAAAGUACUUUCAGCGGUGAGGCGUUACCCGCAGAAGAAGCACCGGCUAACUCCGUGCCAGCAGCCGCGGUAAUAC